GGGGUUGUAGCUCAGUGGUAGAGCGCUCACCUAGCACGUGAGAGGCAUUGGGUUCGUUCCUCAGCAUCA
rnacentral:tRNA from 1 species